UUGUUACUCCCUCCUUCCCAAAAUUUUUGUCUUAGAUUUGUCUAAAUAUAGAUGUAUCAAGUCAUGUUUUAGUAUUAAAUACAUUUGUAUCGAGACAAAUUGAAGACAAGAAUUUUGGGAUGGAGGGAGUAUAAA
rfam:Triticum urartu cultivar G1812 contig460708, whole genome shotgun sequence.